UGCAGGGCCUCGCUCCCGUCCACCCGGCAUGGGAUUGGCGUCUUUGUGUUAUUUGCUUCUUUUUCUACCAAAAGGAGUUCAAAAGUUGAGAGCUGAUUAGUAUUCCAGGCACCAGGACGGCUGCAAACCAGCUCGAGGCGCAGGAGCAGGAUGGGGGGCUGGCCUGAGCUCAGCACCGCUCACGUCACCCGGCUCCUCACAGGCCAGCUUGAAUCCUCCGAUCGCCGGGCUCCCGAAGCUUGUAGCCCCAGGGUGGAUGAAAGUACAGCGAGCCACACCCGGGUCCACAGUGAGUCCCUCGGGCCCUAGGUCUGGGCAGCCAGACCUUUGCCCUGGUUGGUUCGCAGGCAGCAGAUGCCUGCGUCCUUUGAGAGCCGUCCCUGACGGACUCUCUGCAGCCCCGCCAGCUUAUCUGGAAGCGGCCCCCGCGCCAUCUGGACCUGAGAAUCCGAGCCCUCCGGUCUGGCCCGUCAUUUCACUCGAGUCAGCGAAGAUUUAUGGCCCCGUGCAGUGCACCAGCCCCCAUCAGGGUCUGCGCCGGGCACGGGCCAGGGGACCCACGGCGCGGGCUGUCCAUCAGCCUGUCCGGGAGCAGUGGGGGUCCUCCUCCCGAGGCUUCCUGCCAGGACGGGCAGACGUUGCACAGCACGUCCGGCCCGAAGCGAGUGUUUCCUUUGGCAGAAGGUUCUCUUCGCCGAGGCUGCGUCAGCCAGAAAGGCUGGGAUUGCAGAAGAUCAAGAAACCGUCCUUUUCGUCUUCAACUCACCUGUCGGGCACGGUCCCGUCUCACCUUUACCACAAAGCGACAGCACAUUCGGGGUUAAAAUCACUCAUCCUCCGUCUGCGGCAAAAGAUCUCGGUGUGGGGAGGGUUUAUCGACCGCCCGGAAAGCAGCCAUUCCGCCAGUCUCAACCGCUCCACUGCCGUUGCAGGGCACAGAACUGCCGGCGCGUUUUCACAAGAGUGCGCGCACCAGGCGCUGGAUCCAAGAGCACGGCCGCAGGUGGUGCUCGCACAGUGACACCGUCGGGGGCCGGCAGAGUCACCACCUGACGGGAGCCGGAGCUGGCUCAGGGGCGACGCGGCCCCUUGCAGGCUGAACCCCAAGAUAAGCGCUGUGUGACCCUGUGGCCGCCGGCCAGAGCGCCCAGUGGCUGACCAGCAUUCAAGGUCUGCGGCUCAUUGCCUGUGUUCACCCUCCAGUCCUUUGCCUGCCCCAGUCCGCCUCCAGGAAACCACCGCACGUGUUUGCUUCUGUCUUGGAAUAAGCUGUGUGUGGUCGGGUCGUUCAGAACGGCUGUCCAGGACCUGCUUCACCUACACCUUAGCCAUGUGGCUGACCUUCCUGCGCACUGGCCCCAGGCCCCAGCUGUGAUGUUCUUAUCAAAGAGGUCAUAAGGGGCGUGCCCCUCUGCAGGGUUCCCUGGUAACCGAUGAGCCACACCUGGCAAUCUCCUCUCCCCACUGGGAGCAAAUGCUGCCACACGUCCUGUCCACCACCCACUGCACCCGGUGGGGUGUUGCUCCAGGAGCUUCUUCAGACAUGCAUGCUCCCCCUUCCGUGAAACCACUGACGUCUCUGUCUCUGCCUCCAGGCUCUUUCUUCGGUCCUAAAGCUGGGUGAGCACCAGGCUUGCAGCCUGCGGGGUGCAGCCCAACAGGAACACACAGGAGAGCUUCCGUGUUUAUGUCUGAACCGACUGACUGUCAUGGGGCUGAGCCUCCGCACCGCUUGCCCUGCGAUGCACUCAAAGUGCUCCGUGUCCAGCACCCGCUGCAGACUGCAUGAGGCCCCGGCUGACGCAGGGCCCCCCAUGUCUCCUCCGCCUUUACCCCCUCUUCUGGGUCACACACCUUGGGUGCCGGCAUCUCCUGUUCACACCGCAUUGAGUGUGCUAAGACACCACCCCGUGCCUGCAGACAGUUGUCAGAGCCGGUACCCAGGCUGCUCCCACCCCAUCACCUGGAUUCCCAUUUUUGUCCAUCCUCUACCAGCAGCUGGAUUCAUCAGGCUUUUCCCUUUUGAAAGUACAAUGAGUACGAGAUGAAGGAGCAAUGCUGUUUAACUCAGCAUUUCUCUGGUUGCCCGUGUGCUGUGUCUUCCAGGCAUUCAGGUUCCCCCUCUUCUGAAUGGCCUACACAUUUCUUGGCAAAUUUUUCUUGAUUGUCCUCCUUUUCUCCUUCUUAAUUUUGAAGAAGCGUUGCACCUCCUCUAGCUGGCCAUGCCUUGUCAGCUUUAAAUGUUGACGGUGUCUUCUGAGCCAUCCUCCAGCUCCUCACCAUACGGUCAGCGGAUCCAUCCCUCUUCGUGACGGGCGGUGCUUUGGAAGAAAGCACACGGUUAUAGAACCCCCUCCUCACUUGAGAGUACGGAGACCCUCUCGCGUUUCUUCAGUGGCCUUUACAGCUGCCCCCGUCGCUCUGGUCUUCAGUCCUUCCAGCGACGGCCUUAGCUUGGUCAGAGGCUGUGCGUCUAAGGAUUCUUUUCUCUGCAGACUGCAUGUCACCUCCUUGCUGGGCACCAGAUCACCCAUCCUCUCCUCACUGAAGUGCUGUUACUUGCAGGGCCCCCAAAUUUCUAACCAUGUUUCUGAAAUCUGUUUUCUGUCUCUUGUCUACAAGUCAGUUUUCUCCAGAAGCAGGAUUUUCCUGAUCACUUCUUUCCAGUGUGUCUUAAUAUAUGGUAGCCUAACUCCCCUUUCUCUUUUCUUUUUCAAAAGUGUCUUGUUUAUUCUGGAUAUUUGUUGCUUCACAAAUUUUAAAUGAUUUUAUUCUUUAAAACAACCAUACUAGAGUUUUUAUUGGAACAGCAUUACUUGGGUAGAUGUAUUGAGGUGGGGUGAAACAUUUCACAAUGCCAAGUUGCCUCAUCCAUGAA
ensembl:lncRNA